UACGUAGGGUGCAAGCGUUGUCCGGAAUCAUUGGGCGUAAAGCGCGCGUAGGCGGCCCGGUAAGUCCGUUGUAAAAGUCGAAGGCUCAACCUUCGAAAGCCGAUGGAUACUGCCGGGCUAGAGUCCGGAAGAGGCGAGUAGAAUUCCUGGUGUAGCGGUGGAAUGCGCAGAUAUCAGGAGGAACACCGAUGGCGAAGGCAGGUCACUGGGCCGCAACUGACGCUGAGGAGCGAAAGCAUGGGGAGCGAACAGG
rnacentral:rRNA from 1 species